AAAUUGAAGAGUUUGAUCAUGGCUCAGAUUGAACGCUGGCGGCAGGCCUAACACAUGCAAGUCGAACGGUAACAGGAAAAAGCUUGCUUUUUUGCUGACGAGUGGCGGACGGGUGAGUAAUGUCUGGGAAACUGCCUGAUGGAGGGGGAUAACUACUGGAAACGGUAGCUAAUACCGCAUAACGUUGCAAGACCAAAGAGGGGGACCUUCGGGCCUCUUGCCAUCGGAUGUGCCCAGAUGGGAUUAGCUUGUUGGUGGGGUAACGGCUCACCAAGGCGACGAUCCCUAGCUGGUCUGAGAGGAUGACCAGCCACACUGGAACUGAGACACGGUCCAGACUCCUACGGGAGGCAGCAGUGGGGAAUAUUGCACAAUGGGCGCAAGCCUGAUGCAGCCAUGC
rnacentral:rRNA from 1 species